UACAGAGGGGGCAAGCGUUGUUCGGAAUUACUGGGCUUAAAGGGUGCGUAGGUGGGCAAGUAAGUCAGUGGUGAAAUCUCCGGGCUUAACCCGGAAACUGCCAUUGAUACUAUUUGUCUUGAAUACUGUGGAGGUCAGCGGAAUAUGUCAUGUAGCGGUGAAAUGCUUAGAUAUGACAUAGAACACCAAUUGCGAAGGCAGCUGGCUACACAAAUAUUGACACUGAGGCACGAAAGCGUGGGGAUCAAACAGG
rnacentral:rRNA from 1 species